rnacentral:rRNA from 1 species
GACGAACGCUGGCGGCGUGCCUAAUACAUGCAAGUCCAGCGGACUUUCAAGAAGCUUGCUUUUUGAAAGUUAGCGGCGGACGGGUGAGUAACACGUGGGCAACCUGCCUGCAAGACGGGGAUAACUCCGGGAAACCGGGGCUAAUACCGGAUAAUAUCUUCCUUCGCAUGAAGGAAGGUUGAAAGGCGGCGCAAGCUGCCGCUUGCAGAUGGGCCCGCGGCGCAUUAGCUAGUUGGUGAGGUAACGGCUCACCAAGGCGACGAUGCGUAGCCGACCUGAGAGGGUGAUCGGCCACACUGGGACUGAGACACGGCCCAGACUCCUACGGGAGGCAGCAGUAGGGAAUCUUCCGCAAUGGACGAAAGUCUGACGGAGCAACGCCGCGUGAGCGAAGAAGGUCUUCGGAUCGUAAAGCUCUGUUGUCAGGGAAGAACAAGUACCGUUCGAACAGGGCGGUACCUUGACGGUACCUGACCAGAAAGCCACGGCUAACUACGUG